CACAAGGAGGACACAUGUCAACAUUUACAGAAUCGUCUUAUUCAAGAAAUCCAAAUUUAUGGGGAUGUCCACUUCCAAAAAAAUGCUCUUGGCCAGAAUUUGCUCCUGCUCCUCCCCCCAUUUCAACAUCUACCAAUGAUGAAGAUGAUGAGGGAAGUGUGUGGUAUGAGAUUGGAGUGGGACUGUGUUAUGGAGUGGGUUUUGCAGCUGUGGUGAUGUUCAUUGUAAUAAAAAGGAAUUGGGGACAAAAAUUCUUUUGGGGAAUUGAUUUGGUAUUGAAAUUUGUAUUUCCAUGGCUGCGGAAUUCUACAGUAUGAACUAUGAAGGGUUAUUUCUUCUAAUAAGACUAGAGCUGAUGCAAUAUUCACCGAUGAGAUUAAAGAUGUUCCAGCAACAGUGGAUGUGUUGUUUGUAAAGGCUGAUGGUGUGCAAGGUGAUGGUUUGGACAACUUAGCUUUAUAGGUUAAGAAAGCAUUCCAUAAUCAACUGAAGAGGCCUCGAAAGGAAUUUGGUUAUAUAAGAAUUUUUUUUUUUCUCUUCUGUGUUCUUCUCAAAAACUUGUAUGGCAUAUUAAUAAAGACACAACAAUAAACAGCCACAAGCAAGUGUUUGUUUUCGCAAAGAAGUACGGUAUAGGAAAUGUUGGUCAAAAAUAAAUAUAUUUUAUUGUAGUGGGUAAUAACACUGUGAAACCUGACAUACACUCUUGAAUCGCAGAUGGGUGACAUAUCAUUUUUUAAAUGUUACCCAGUGUAAGUAUAUUUUGAAAAAAAAUUAUUAUUGGAGAAUUUGAUGGUGCUAUCGAUGAACUGGAUCUAUGAAAUCAGAGAGUAGAUUGGAAAAUUCA